CCUACGUGCGGCAGCAGUGAGGAAUAUUGGUCAAUGGGAGCGAUCCUGAACCAGCCAAGCCGCGUGAGGGAAGACGGCCCUAUGGGUUGUAAACCUCUUUUGUCGGAGAACAAAACCCGGGACGAGUCCCGGACUGCGUGUAUCCGACUCAAAAGCAUCGGCUACCUCCGUGCCAGCAGCCGCGGUAAUACGGAGGAUGCGAGCGUUAUCCGGAUUUAUUGGGUUGAACGGGUGCGUAGGCGGUCUGUUAAGUCAGCGGUAAACUUGCGGGGCUCAACCCCGACGAGCCGUUGAAACUGGCAGACUUGAGUUGGCGAGAAGUACGCGGAAUGCGCGGUGUAGCGGUGAAAUGCAUAGAUAUCGCGCAGAACUCCGAUUGCGAAGGCAGCGUACCGGCGCCAGACUGACGCUGAGGCACGAAAGCGUGGGGAUCGAACAGGAUUAGAUACCCUUGUAGUC
rnacentral:rRNA from 1 species